rnacentral:rRNA from 1 species
ACGGGAGGCAGCAGUGAGGAAUAUUGGUCAAUGGGCGGAAGCCUGAACCAGCCAAGUCGCGUGAAGGAUGAAGGUAUUAUGUAUUGUAAACUUCUUUAGACGCAGAGAAAUAAGGAGGUCGAGACCUCUGAUGCUAGUAUGCGUAGAAUAAGGAUCGGCUAACUCCGUGCCAGUAGCCGCGGUAAUACGGAGGAUCCGAGCGUUAUCCGGAUUUAUUGGGUUUAAAGGGUGCGCAGGCGGCCCUGUAAGUCAGCGGUUAAAUCGUGAGGCUCAACCUCAUCCCGCCGUUGAUACUGCAGGGCUUGAUUGCGGUCGAGGUUGGCGGAAUUCGCCGUGUAGCGGUGAAAUGCAUAGAUAUGGCGAAGAACUCCGAUUGCGUAGGCAGCUGACCAGGCCGUAAAUGACGCUCAUGCACGAAAGUGCGGGGAUCGAACAGGAUUAGAUACCCUGGUA